rnacentral:rRNA from 1 species
GAUGAACGCUGGCGGCGUGCUUAACACAUGCAAGUCGAACGGAAAGGCCCAAGCUUGCUUGGGUACUCGAGUGGCGAACGGGUGAGUAACACGUGGGUGAUCUGCCCUGCACUUCGGGAUAAGCCUGGGAAACUGGGUCUAAUACCGGAUAGGACCACUUCUUGGAUGGUGUGGUGGAAAGUUUUUUCGGUGUGGGAUGAGCUCGCGGCCUAUCAGCUUGUUGGUGGGGUAAUGGCCUACCAAGGCGUCGACGGGUAGCCGGCCUGAGAGGGUGUACGGCCACAUUGGGACUGGGAUACGGCCCAGACUCCUACGGGAGGCAGCAGUGGGGAAUAUUGCACAAUGGGCGCAAGCCUGAUGCAGCGACGCCGCGUGGGGGAUGACGGCCUUCGGGUUGUAAACUCCUUUCGCUAGGGACGAAGCGUUUUGUGACGGUACCUGGAGAAGAAGCACCGGCUAACUACGUG